GACGAACGCUGGCGGCGUGCUUAACACAUGCAAGUCGAACGAUGAAGCCCAGCUUGCUGGGUGGAAGAGUGGCGAACGGGUGAGUAACACGUGAGUAACCUGCCCCUGACUCUGGGAUAAGCGCUAGAAACGGCGUCUAAUACUGGAUAUGAGCACUGGUCGCAUGGCCUGGUGUUGGAAAGAUUUAUCGGUUGGGGAUGGACUCGCGGCCUAUCAGCUUGUUGGUGUGGUAAUGGCUUACCAAGGCGACGACGGGUAGCCGGCCUGAGAGGGUGACCGGCCACACUGGGACUGAGACACGGCCCAG
rnacentral:rRNA from 1 species